AUAGUUACUAUUAUCCUGCCUAUUUUUCGCCGUUAAUCUACCUCUCAUUUCUUUCUCCAUGGCUGAAUUGUGACGUUGUUGUUGCUGGCAUUUAAUAUUUUGUUGUCCAUCUAAGUUACUGCUCUUCCUGUGCUAACGUAAAUCAAGGAGGCAAAGAGAAUGAGCAUUUUGGGAAACAUGAAUGUAAUAUAUCUCUUUUCUGGAGUUUUGGAUUACAGGUGUUAAUCUGUAAUGUUAUUCUUGUUUUACGCCCUUCCCUUUCUCUAUGCUGCCUAUUUUGUUCUCUCCUUCUGAGGCAUACGAUUGGUUAUGCUGCUCUUGUAUCACUCCUUUCCCUUUCUCUAUGCUGUCUUUUUUGUUCGCUCCUUAUGAAGAAUAUUUGACUGGUGUGUUUUCACUAAUGUUUCUUUUGAGGAGCUUAAAACAUCUUUCUAGUGGCUGUUGAUGGCGUAGAUUAGAAAAGCAUGCAGUCUAGCUCUUGGGCCACUUUCAUUAUUGCUCUCCGAUGUAACUUUUGUUUGGGUUUAAUAAGGUUAGUCACACAGAAUGAUGAGCCCGUGGGGGCAAGGGCAAGGGCAAGCAUGGACAAUCAUGAGAUCUCCUCUGAUUUAAGCAUUGUUGAAUAUGACCACUUCUUGUGUCGGGCCUUAUCAGAGAAGUACAUUUCCAUGGCCAUGCCUGAGAUUUUUGUGGUGCUAAAUGUGGGGAUAAAUGAUAUUUAAUCAGUGGUCCGGAACAGCAAGAGAAAUCCAUACGGAAGGAAGGAAGGUGGCCUAUCUGAAUUAGUUGGAACAGAAGAACAGGACCAGCCACAUGCGUGCACAUGGCUUAGAGACCCACAUCUGCAUGGACUUCCAACUGAAUUUGGAUAUGCAUGUAGCUGCAAACAAAACUUGAUUUGCUAGUGUUAAAUCUAAUCGAAAGGUUGUCCGUACACUGAAAUGGAAGUGAGGUUUUUAUAGGUGAGGAACUAGUUCCUGUGCUGCAUCUGCGUUUUGAAUUUUGAGCAUCUAAUUUUUGUUUGUUCUAGUUUUUUAUUUCUAGACUGAUUUCAAUGUUUUUGUUUUGAGUCAUGUUAUGUUAACCUUUGCUGUGAAGUAUUUUGAGUCCACCUUUCCUGUGCAGUGGCACCCACAUCGGUAGUUCAGUGAGAGAAUCAAUGGUGAUACUUGAACUGAUUCCUUCAAAAUAGACCUAUUGGCCUUUCCUUUCUGCGGGACAUGGAGAUGGUACCGGUUGGUCUAACUGCUUAAGACUCGGGAAUAGUCUCCUGAUCAUUAUGUACUUUUGCUUUCUUCCAGUGAAGCCUGAGCAUAGUGCAGGAGGCCUACCCUUUUGUGGUUGUGAUAAAGGAUGCUGAUCAUGUGGAGGGAUGUGCUGACGCUGGAUAUGUUGAUGGUUCCAGUCCCUGCUGUUCGAAAUGUGAUGGAGAUGCUCUGAAGACCCACCUCACCAUUAGUCUAUAAAAUAAUUCUCAUCAUCUUUGCCUCUUUUUUGUCUUCAAGGGAGAUCAAACAUGGGAAAGUCAUAUGCAUCAUCUUCAUUUUUUCUUUUUCUUUAUCUCUUGAGGGGUAUUCUUAACAUCUUAUCAAGGCACAUGCACCAUGCGUCAUAUGUCUUGUUUGAUGAUUGCCUAUUGCUUUGAGAGGACAUCAUUUGUCUUAGGUUCUUAAAAGUCCUACUAAACAACAUUGGACAGAUCCACAGUAUGGCGACUUCUUGUCUGCAUGCCAUCUGUGGUUGUUGCUAUUUGGUUUUGCAUCAUGUAACCUCCUAAUGUGAAUGAUGUGAUAAUUGAAGCAGUUUAGACUUCAUGCCUGUCAAGGACAAAUCAAGUUAGCUACAUACUGGAUUAAUUAAGAUUUGGAGGCUUUCUUGAAACGACUAGUUCCUGUUGUUUAGCAUAUAAAUUUUUGUCCAAGGGGUGGCAGAAAAAUGUGGCAGUGUAUCCCUGACUGUUAAUGCUUUCUGUGCUGCGCUUAUUCUGAUGGGUGCUCCAGGUAAAUGCUCCAGCUGCUUCCAAAUUAGGCGUUCCUUUUGUUAUUUGACAUUGCCCUUAGUGUAUUGCAUGUGCCAUUAUACUUUUCACAAAGAUAAGUCAUGCAAUGUCCUAGUUCCAGCCUUCUCCUGUUUAAUAUGUUGAUGCUGUAACUUUUUUUAUUAUUAUUUUGGUAAUCUAACAUGUGUUACUAUUUUUGUUGUCUCUGGUUCAGUGGACUACAGCCUUGCCAUCUCUGGCUCCUGCAUGUAUGCUAAUCCACCACUGUUUCAAUCACCCUAAUCCAACACCUUUUCCAUUGUACUCUCAUUACAGGCUAAUGCCAAGCACAUGCUACAUGGGCUGCGACUUGUCUAUGGUGGAUAGUCCAAAUCAUAGCAUCGCAGAGACACAUGCUCACACAUGGAUGGGCUCCAGGUGCUGCAAUAAAGCCCCGCAACCCCUUGGAGCUGUAUCAUUAAGGGAGGCAUGCUAAUGCAGCAACCGUUUGAAAAAUCUUCACUCGCAUUAUAUUCCGGCUGGACAAGGGAAUAUCUUUGUGCUACUUGUGCUUUCCUCACAAUCCCAACAAGAUCCACCACUGCCAUGAGAGCGUAUCACUCAGCUCGCUUGGGAUCGCUGUGGAUGAGAACAUGCAAGCAGCUGCUGGCCUUUUGUAAGGGUGAACAGUGCCUUGGCCGGCUGGGGGGCAUGCAGCUGUUGAGGCUAGAAGACAGCUCGAGAAAUCGGGUAAACAGUGAUGCAAAUCAGCUUACAUGGAGUCAUUCAAGCUGGCAAUCAAGAGGAGCUGGAAGCCCUGGAACAUGUGUUGCUUUGCUGUUUUCACGAGGCGCCGUUGAAGAAACAGGGGCAAAGGCCGGCGUCGAUCUCGUUCCCUCCAUUCUUCUGAAAUCAAGUUACAGCAGGCCCGGAGAUUAGUCCGGAGAUUACAUCCACCACCAGUUCUCAGAUACCAUCAAUCAUCCUCUGCAAAGUUCCGUAGCAGCCGUGGUAUGUUCUGCAACCCCGUCUGACGAACCGAGCUCUCCGGUUGUCUUAUCAGAGCGGUCUUGGUUAUCUUCUGGUUCGGCGUAUCAGAGCCCAUUGAUACAAGUCAAAGAUGAUAAUAAUGAGGGCACCCGUUUAUUAGGAGAUGACGAUGGUUUCCUGUACUGUAACCAUACUGUUGUGUCUGAGACCUCGCAUGCCGACAGAAGUUCCCCUUUUUCCCCUCUA